CCUACGGGAGGCAGCAGUGGGGAAUAUUGGACAAUGGGGGGAACCCUGAUCCAGCGACGCCGCGUGAGUGAAGAAGGAUUUCGGUAUUUAAAGCUCUAUCAGCAGGGAAGAAAAUGACGGUACCUGACUCAGAAGCCCCGGCUAACUACGUGCCAGCAGCAGGGGUAAUACGGAGGGGGCAAGCGUUAUCCGGAUUUACUGGGUGUAAAGGGGGCGUAGACGGUGCAGCAAGUCUGAUGUGAAAGGUCGGGGCCCAACCCCGGGACUGCAUUGGAAACUGUUGAACUGGAGUACAGGAGAGGUAAGCGUAAUUCCUAGUGUAGCGGUGAAAUGCGUAGAUAUUAGGAGGAACACCAGUGGCGAAGGCGGCUUACUGGACUGUAACUGACGUUGAGGCUCGAAAGCGUGGGGAGCAAACAGGAUUAGAUACCCUGGUAGUC
rnacentral:rRNA from 1 species